AGAGCAAAAAGCUUCGACAGGAAGAAAUUCAGAGGAGCAAGCAGAGGUUGCACCAGUCAGACAUGCUGAUGAAAGAGAAAAGGAAGGACGAUGGCACACAAGGGACAGCUCUUGACCCCAGAAAGUGCUCCAGUCCAUGGUGGGGUGUGUCAAAGGUGGGCACUCAGGACGAUGCUCCUCCACUCCCUGCUACAUCAGAUCCAUGGAUGAGAAGCAGCAAGCUGGCAGUGGGAAUCAGUGUUCUAAGCCCAUGAACCCAAUUUGCCAAAUGUAAGCCAAGGUG